rnacentral:lncRNA from 1 species
GUGAAGGGUAUGGAAGCGGAUACGGUGGGGGAGAUAACUACGGUGACUCACCGUAAAUCAUUCUUAUGUAUUGCAUGCUUAUUUUUACAUAAUUUAGGAACAUACAGAAUAAGGUGAUCGAUGUUUUGUCGUCAUACACACACACACACAUAUCUUGUAUACUGUGUAAAUCACUCUUCUUUUUGCUAUUGAAAGAGAGACGAUGUGGUUUCACUUAAUUUCCCUAUUAGAAAAUCGCAUGCAUUGGCAUAUGGAACUACGAUGCACCAUUUACUUUUGUUAUAUUAUCAUUUUGUAGUCAUAUGUGUGUGUACCUUGUUUAUCCCACUUAUUUGGUUAUUUCCAUUUUUUACAAUAAAAUGGAGACGUCUAAUAAAAUAAAAUAAUAUAAAAAUAG